CGUGCAGGCGGGCUAGCAAGUCUGAUGUGAAAGCCCUGGGCUUAACCCGGGAAGUGCAUUGGAAACUGUUAGUCUUGAGUGCUGGAGAGGAAGGGGGAAUUCCCGGUGUAGAGGUGAAAUUCGUAGAGAUCGGGAGGAAUACCAGUGGCGAAGGCGCCCUUCUGGACGGCAACUGACGCUGAGACGCGAAAGCGUGGGGAGCAAACAGGAUUAGAUACCCUGGUAGUCCACGCUGUAAACGAUGAUCACUAGGUGUAGCGGGUACUCAUUCCUGCUGUGCCGCAGCUAACGCGUUAAGUGAUCCGCCUGGGGAUUACGGUCGCAAGACUAAA
rnacentral:rRNA from 1 species